AAUGUAUGGAGUGAUUGAAAGGCUUGCACCAGGCACAAGGAAAAUAGAACUGUUUGGAAGACAGCACAACGUUCAACCGAACUGGAUAACUCUGGGAAAUCAAUUGGAUGGCGUUCGACUUUUAGAUCCAGACGUGACAACGCGCUUCAAAAAACGUUACCCGGACGGAAAUGUACUUAAACCACCCACCACUAAAGCGUAGCACACUGGUGAUGCUUACUCUUCAACGACAGACCAGCAAGUUCUGCUGAACAAAAUUCAU